rnacentral:rRNA from 1 species
UACGGGGGAGCAAGCGUUGUUCGGAUUUACUGGGCGUAAAGGGCGCGUAGGCGGCCAGCACAAGUCAGUUGUGAAAUCUCCGAGCUUAACUCGGAAAGGUCAACUGAUACUGUGCGGCUAGAGUGCGGAAGGGGCAACUGGAAUUCUUGGUGUAGCGGUGAAAUGCGUAGAUAUCAAGAGGAACACCGAUGGCGAAGGCAGCUCGCUGGGACGGUACUGACGCUGAGGCGCGAAAGCGUGGGGAGCAAACAGG